CUCUCUGGCUGCGGAUUUUCGACCUAAGGGGUGGUCAUUACUUUGUUCUUUUCGCUUCUGAUGCGAUUUCCUUGUCUUAAGCUUUCGUCAUCAACCCUCGGAGACUGUAGUUCAUCCUUAGGCCGUAUCUGCUUUCUUACGGACACCACACCUGGAAAUGGGACCCUAGUCACUUUUUUCAAAUAAAGACUCGUUUAUUUGUUU
rnacentral:lncRNA from 1 species